AGGCAUCAUAAGGUGGGUGGCUUCUUCUGCCACACACUCCAGCUAGAAUGCAAUGCCUCACCACAGCCACAGAAACAUGGGAGCAAUUGAUCAUGUACUGGAGCUGCUAAAACUGAGCCAAAAUAAAUCUUUCUUCUUUUUAAGGCUUCUUCUUAACUGAAGCUUGGCUUUGUGGCUACCUGGCCAUAGGCUUCUGAGCCAGACAUCAACAACCGUGCAAUCUGUGCAGAGGCCCCUGAAGAUUCAGAGACUGGGAAUGAGGUUGGAAACAGUUCAGCACCUCAGCGGGCCAACC
rnacentral:lncRNA from 1 species